rnacentral:rRNA from 1 species
AACGAACGCUGGCGGCGUGCCUAACACAUGCAAGUCGAGCGGGAAAGUUCCCUUCGGGGAGCGAGUACAGCGGCGCACGGGUGAGUAACACGUAGGUAACCUACCCUGGAGACCGGGAUAACCUGCCGAAAGGCGGGCUAAUACCGGAUGAGACCACGAGGGCUGCGGCCCUUGAGGAAAAAGAUGGCCUCUACUUGUAAGCUAUCACUCCGGGAUGGGCCUGCGCGCCAUUAGCUAGUUGGGAGGUAACGGCUCACCAAGGCCGAGAUGGCUAGCUGGUCUGAGAGGAUGGCCAGCCACACUGGGACUGAGACACGGCCCAGACUCCUACGGGAGCAGCAGUGGGGAAUAUUGCGCAAUGGGCGAAAGCCUGACGCAGCGACGCCGCGUGGGUGAUGAAGGCCUU